GCCACAGAUGCCUGCUGUACUGAGAAUGUGAUUCUCUCCCUAGGACCCACAAGAAGAAGGAUGCUAAUGAUGUUCCAAGUGUUGACGGUUCUCUGGCCCCAGGAGACAGCCUGGAAGAUUCUCGCUCUGUCACCCAGCCUGGAGUGCAGUGGUGUGAUCUCGGCUUGCUGCAACCUCCACCUCCCAGGUUCAAGUGAUUCUCCUGCCUCAGCCUCCAGAGUAGCUGAAAUUACAGGAACCUGCGUGUUUCAGAUAAGAUACCUCUUGGAUACCUCUUGAUUCACUCUUCUUCCUGCCACUGUGGUGAGGAUCAUUGAGUCUUUGACCAGCUUUAUGCAGCUUCCGAUUCCACAUGCGCCACUUCCACAGGGUCCCCCAGACCCUCGACCGUGAACUUCAGCAAUCAGACCUCUCUGCCCUCUGUGCACCGGCCCUGUUUAAACGCGGUUCCUGAGCCCUUGCUGCCAUUUCACAACUGGAGACUUCCCUUCUCCCACACCCUCCAUCGGUUCUGUUCACUGUCAACAACCCAGAAGCUUCCACUGGGAAACACGGUCUGCAUACCCAGAGCACGACAGUUAUCUUGCUCCAUGCCCCAGGGAGGGAUGAUUGAUGGAAGCCAAGGCCUGUUUCUUCCAAAGAGCUCUGCACACAAACAUAAGAAAAACCCAGUUGACUCUACAAAUACCAGCUCCAAUUCUUUCAUGUUGAGGCACACCUGUAGAGUGAUCCACAGUGCUUUUCUUUGCAAAAAAAAAAAAAAAAAAAAAACAAAAACAAACAAACAAACAAACAAAAAAAACUGGUAGUCCCCUGGAGCUAAGACUGAGCUGAGUGACUGGAAUCACUCUGAGGCUGAGAAGGGCUAAGAAGGAGGCAGUGAGCUUUGGGCAGGCUCCUUGCAUGGCCUUGCAGAAAGCAAGAGGACCUAGAAGGUGGGGAGGGAAAGUGGAGGCCAGAGGACAAGGCCCUGGGAAGGGGCAUGUGUGAGAGGUUUUCAGGGAAGAGCUAGGAAUGCGGCAGGUUGGGAUUGGGCAUGGGUGGGGACUGUUAGAUUUAGGGAUGCUACCCAAAUGCCAGGGGGAGGAAUCUGUUUCAACCCAGUGGCCAGUGGGUAGUUGGUGAAGAUUUUGUACCUUUAUAACUUAAUUUCUGUUAGAAGUAUUGCUCAGAAUCACUAUUUAUGCUGUGUUUUCAAAGAUUUACCACACUUAUGACUAUAAUGAUGUUACUUCUUGAGCCAUUUUUCUUCCUUGGAGAAACACAUACUCGAUUUCAUAAUGAAAAUCAAUGAGAAAGUACAAAUUUGUGCAAAUAAAUUCAAUGUACAGCUCAAUAUGCCUGGAUGUUACCUCCACCGUAUGAGAUAUGUCUGCACUGAUUCAUUGAACAUAAACCCUGGGGAAGGGGGCUCUUCCAGGCCUAUCCUGGCAUCUUCGAUUCCAACUCCAGCCUCUUGUCCCCAGCGAGCUUCCCCUAGCAGCCAGGACAGACAAUUACCUUUUCAAAACUUGAAUACUGUUAACAGCUCCCUUGUAACUUACCAACCCUCUCCUUGUCAUUUUAGACUUCGCUAUUCCAGUGAUAAAUAAUCUGAAUUUUUAAAAUGGAUUCUCAGAGGCUGUAUUUUAAUCUAUAUGCUUGUGCUUUAAAUCAAUAACCAAUAACCAAUUUAAGCUCAUUUAAGCCCUGUUAGCUGCCACAUAAUGUUGGUGUUCUGCUCGGCAUCAUAGCUAACAAUUUAUGUUAAAGGGUGCUCAGCUUAUUUUUUUUGAAGUUCUACAGCUGUCUGCUGCGUGACUGGAGAGCUGAUGACUUUGAGCUAUAGCAGCAUUCUCUCCAAGUUCAUUUCGAUACUGAAAACCAAAAUGAACUAUUAAAACUCAUUACCAUUUUUAUCUCUAAUGGUGCAGAUUCCAUUUUCUAUCAUUUUAUUCACAUCUGAAAAGCAAAUUGUAUUUGCAUAAGGAAGGGGGGGAUCUCUUGGAUUUUUUUUUCAUUCUUUUUCUAAAAAAUUAAGAAAAAAUAUACAUAAUGGUUUCUAGGAGGGGGAAAAGUGCCAUCCAAAUACAUCUGUUAAGAAAAUCAAAAUUCCAGAAGCUUGAUCUUAGGGACUAAACCUUUCUCUCCUCCCACCUCACCCUCAGCCCCAGCCAACAUCCAUCUGCUGAAGUCCUAACCCCAAGGACCUCAGACUGUGGCUGUAUUUGGAGACAGGGUCUUUGUAGAGGUAAUCAAGUUUAAAUGAGGUUAUUAGUGUGGACCCAAUCGGUGUCCUUCUAAGAAGAGGAGACUAGGGCACAGACAAACGCAGAGGCAUGACCACGUGAGGACACAGUGAGAAGAAGGCUACAUUCAAGCCCAAAAGGAAGGCAAGAAGCCGAUUCUCCCUCACAUCCCUCAGAAGGAACCAGCUCUGCCAGCAUUUUGAUCUGGGAUUUCUGGGCUUCAGAACCAUGAAACUAUGAAUUUCUCUGGUACUUUGUUAAAGGAACCCUAGCAAAGUAAGGCAUUUACAACAUGAAGGAAAUGACUGAAGUACUGAAGAUUUGUUCAUUGUAAUAAUAGCAGAUAUCAUUUAACAUUAUUUUCUAUUGCCAGAAAAUGUUCUAAAUGUGUUCAAAUAUUAUCUCAUUUAAUCCUCAAAAAUUUCCGUGAGGCGUUACUGUUAUCCCCAGUUUUGCAGGUAAGGAAACUCAUGGACAGGUUGCUGAGUCAUUGGUUCAAGGCUGUCACAUGAAUGGAGAGAAACCAGGCCGUCUCUACUCCAGAGUUGGUGCUCUGAACCAUGCCGUGGCACAUCACUCUGGAAUCUUGGAUUUUGCUGAGUGUGAAGUAAAAUUGUGUGCAAGCAACAAGCCUGGCUUCAUUAAGCCACCUUUACCUGGAAUACUCUUUUUUGCUAACACCUUCCUUCCAUAAAUUUCACCCAAGAAUAGCAAAGAUGAGCUAACGAGAAGGAGAAACGCCCACUAUGUGUUGGCUAUCUGCCUAUCCACCACCCCCAGGAUGGCCAACCACUGUUUCCAGAGAUGUUACUCAGGCUUCCAGUCCCAGGUAGGAGAGCUCAGAACUCACACAAAGCCCAGGGAUCUGGGAAAGGAAGGGCCUUCAGGAACCAGGGACUCACAUCAUCAGAAACGAAGCGGGCAGUGGUCCAGGGUUCAAGGCCAGGAUAUCCCAGCCAUCUGAGACAGACAGAAGCCUAGAAGACUUGAGUUCAGGGCCAGCAUUCUUCAUCCCCAGCCUCCAUGGAACUUAAUACUGAGUGUGGGUGGAGAAAGGGGAGCCACGGGCCCCUGAAAAACCUUGGCUCUAGGCUGGCAUCACAGGAGGAAAGGGGAGCCAGCCUGGUCCUGGGUGGCAUGAGUCACUUGAGGAGCCCCACAUUUCUCCUGCCACCCCACUGGGCCAAAAGGAGCUGCCUCUGCCUCCCCUUCUGCCAUUUGCAGAGUCAAGGUGACCAUUCCACCAGCUCUCGAAUACCAGGCUUCUAAGGGCUUCCAGUUAAUUUGUCAACACCUCCCAAGCACUUGCUGUGUCCCUGUCCUGUUCUCUGUGCUCCAUCCCACUCCCUCUAAAGUCUGUUUACACCCUUGCAAGGUGAGCAUUGCAUUAUGGUUCCUGUUUUAGAGAUGAGGAAACUGAGGCCCAGGGAGUAAAAUAAUGUGCCCAGGGACACACAGCCAGUAUUGAGACAAAGUACAAAUCUCAGUUUGACCCAAACUGAAAAUUACGAAUCAGUUCUGAUUGUAACUCCUGGGGCUAGUCCAGGAGAGUGAGGCACGCUGUCUUGUCCUGGGUGAGAGGUGUGGUUUCCUCUCCUGGUAAGAUGCUAUGUUUGAGAUUUAAUUCCCACAUAGGGCCAGAGCCAAGGGGAUGAAAACUGAGUAGAAAAGCAUUUCUGAUCAAAAGGACAUUUUGAAUCUCUAUUUCAUAACAUCAGAUAAGAGAUUUUCAAGGACAAAUACAAUUUUACGGAUAUUUCCUCAGAUAUGAUUAAGAAAGAGACAGAUUUCAGCACUCAGAUUUCCUGGGGCUGGCAUAGGCUGAAGACCAGGAAAACAAGACACUGUAUCUUAGCUCAAGUAAUGAACCCACAGGGACACUGUUUCCCCAUGCAGAAGGCAGACCAGUGAUUUGUCACGCUAUGCUCAGAUGAGAAUGUUUGAUAUGGUUUGGAUCUGUGUCCCCGCCAAGUCUCAUGUAGAAUUGUAAUCCCCAGUGUUGGAGGUAAAGCCUGGUGGGAAGUGAUUGGAUCAUGGGGGUGGAUUUCUCAUGAACGGUUUCUCACCAUCCCCGCUUGGUACUGUCGUUGCAAUAGUGAGUGAGUUCUCGUGAGAUCUGUUCAUUUGAAAGUGUGUGGCACCUCCCCCCUCUCUCUCUGGCUCCUGCUUUGGCCACAUAAGACAUGCCUGCUUCCCUUUCUGCCAUGAUUAUAAUUUUCCUGAGACUUCCCCAGAAGCCAAGCAGAUGCUAGCAUCAUGCUUCCUGUACAGCCUGCAGAACUAUGAUCCAAUUAAAGCUUUUUUCUUUGUAAAUUACUCAAUAUCAGGUAUUUCUUUAUAGCAAUGCAAGAACAGCCUCUUCCAAUGUUCUUAAUAAAAUUAAGAAGCUGCAGCUAUUAAGCACUUAGCAUGUGUCAGAUACACUGACACAAACAACAUUACUGUGGUGCAGAUUCAUUUGUUCCAUUUUACAGAGGAGGCAACUGAGAGGUAGAGAUUAGAGCGUUUGCCCCUAAGUGUGUGGCUGGGGAGAAGCAGAGCUAGGAUGUGAAUGCGUGUCUCUCCCUACAGAGUCUACAGACCUUUGGGCUAUUCUGCCUCCUUCACCAACUAUAAGAAGAGUGCAGAGCCGAAAUAAGAGGAAACCAUGGAAAUACAGAGACACUAUAUUCUCUACAGAGGUGGAAAGUCUUCAUCCCACUCCCCUCUGCCACAGUAGCAGGUGUUCACUUAGAGUUUAGGUCUCCAGCUUCCCUUGUGGCCAAAAAGGGCCAAGUGUGCAUGACAUGGGCUCAGAUUCCAAGCAUGUUUUCAAGGAAGCACAGCUCUCUGGUCUUUUCUUUCUUUCUUCCAGCUGAAAUGGAAGCAUCUAAAAUGGUGGCUUGAGCAGCCCUGGAGGACCACAGCAUCUGAGUGACAACUGGAGAGAUGCCCAGCAACAGAAGGGAGGUUUGGGUUCCCCACUUUUCACCCAGCACCAAGUGGGAGAGGAAAAAAUGAAUUGUUAUUUAGGCCAGUAUUGUUCAGGCAUCUCUUGUUUCCAGAAGUCAAGUCAGUAUCAAAUGCAUCAACAAAGACAUCUGAGACACCUCGAUAACUUCCUUUUUCCAUUUUUGAAAGUUGUGAGGCUCUCAUACGCAUGUAUAAAAUAGGGUGCCACUUUCCAAAGUGUAAGAGGAUUUGGAGCAGAAAAUGGUUUCCUAAGUUUGUCUCUUGAACCAGUCAAUAAAUCUGACAGCUGUCCCUGAAUUAUAGCUAAAAUGUUGGAUCUGCAGAGCACAGCAUCAUUCCUCAGAAGGAACGCACAUGUCUCCUGGAAGCCCAAGGCUCGAAACUUUUCUCCGUGGGUUUUUGGUUGUGAAUCAGACUUGCUCUUUCCGUCAUAAACUGCAAUGAUGAGGCUAUAAGAGAAGUAGGAGGAAAGUGUUUUGUUAGAACAAACAGGGAGGGAGAGAGCUUGAACAAAGAGAAGGAAUCACUCCCCAAAGAGGCAAACUCAGUGAGCGGAAUUGAUGGAGACGAUUGAAGAAGCCAGGGGUUAUGAUAAUUGCAAAAUGUCUUGUAGUUGUUUCCAUAACAAACAAUUUUGCCAGAGAGGGCUCAGAGGCACUGUGCAGCUUGGAGGAAUCAACUCAAGGAGUCUGAGAGCCUUGGAAACUGCCAUCCUUCUUUCAAUGCCGGAGUGCAUGCUGGGAGGGAUCAAAAUGGAGCGGACACUGGAAGAAAACUGAUCCAAAUCCCAUUCAGGCAAUCCCAGGGGACGACUCUGUUUUCAAGGCUAGCUCAGAAAUUUUCAGGAGAAAGGCGUUCACUUGCUGUCAAAGGGUAGCGGUCAGUGUUUCUUAACGUUUGUUUGUUUGUUUGUUUGUUUUUAGACAAGGUCUUGUUCUGUCACCCUGUGUGCGGUGCAGUGGCACAGUCUUGGCUCACUGCAGCCUCGACCUCCCGGCCUCAAGUGAUCUUCCCACCUCAGCCUCACGAAUACCUGGGACUACAGGUGUGCCACCACAUGUGGCUAAUUUUUGUAGUUUUUGUAGAGAUGUGGUUUUGCCAUGUUGCCCAGGCUAAUCUUGAACUUCUGAGUUCAAGUGAUCCGCCCAUCUCAGCUUCUCAAAGUGCUGGGAUUACAAGCAUGAGCCAGUGAGCCCAGCUGUGUUUCAGUGUUUCUACCGCAACCCAGGCAAAGGUAAAGACCACAUAAGUCAUAGAGAAGAUGGAGGCAUAUGAGAUCUGCUGGACAAUGAACUUCAGCAGGAGCAUAAACCAAAAUAGACUCAGGGAGGAAUGUUCUGGAAACUUUUGCACCUGUUCACUGGGAGACAUGUAUGAACAUAUUUUGUGUAACGUUUUUGCUUUUAGCAACAAAUGAGAACACUACAAAUAAGCAAUUCCAAGAGAAAGGAUACAGAAGUGUGUUGUAUUUACACUGUGGAAUAUUAAACAGCUGGGGAAAUGGAAGAAUUGCAGAUACACAAAUUAGCAGGCAUGAUUUAUGCUGAAACAAAAAAGAAGGUAAUUUACAGAAGGAUACAUACAGUCCAUUCUUGAAAAAUAUUCAUUUAUUGAGGGCCUACUGUGUGCUAGGCACUCUUCUAAGCACUGAGGAUGUCGUAGUGAACACAGUAGACACAUACAUACUCUUUGCCCUUAUAGAGCUUACAUUCUCAUGGGAAUAACACAGACAUAACUAAAUAGGUAGUCUAAUGAGGAUACGUGUUCUGUAGGCACAAGGGAGGAAGGCAGACAGGAAAGGGCAACACUUAAACUUCAGUCCCGAAGUCCUCAUGGAGAAGGCAACACGGCACCAAGACGUGCAAAGGGGAGAGAGUGGAAUAUGUGCCUGUCAGGGAGGUGCGAGUGUGAAGGCCCUGGGGUGGAAGCAUGCAGGGAAUGCUGUGACAACACCAAGGGCCAGCAGGUAGAUGCAGAGUGAGUGAGGCAGAAAGAAGCAGAAGCUGAAGUCUGGAGAUGAAGACCUGGACACUUAGAGGAUGGAGGAGGAGGACAGAUCUUAGAGAGCUGCACCAGCAAGAAACGUGGCUUUGACUCCAUGAUGGGAGGGUUUUCAGCAAAAGAGAGGGCAUGGGCAGAAGAUGAGAAACCGUGGAAAUUUAUUGUGAUUAACCAGGAGAGAGAUGACGGUGGUUUGGCUCAACAUGAGCACCUUACCUGGUGGAACGAUAAUUGGUUCAAAACGUGCAAAACUACACACAUAUUGCUUAUGGACACAUGGAUAUUUAGUAAUCCUCUAAAGAAAUUAAUGGAUGAAUAAAAGCCUGGGAAGCAGUUUAUCUAGGGGGUGGUGGUAGGGGAAGAGGAAGUUAAUAAGAAAGAGACAUACUUGAGGACACCCAUGGCCUGGGGACCAUCUUACUUUGGCAUGCAGGAAUUUCUUUCAAUAUUCUUUACUUGUCAUGUAUGUUGUAUACAGUCUUUUGUGCAUGUGAUAUUCACAAUUAAAAAUGACUGCCAUUAGUUGAAAUCUCUACAGUCUCUUUCAACACAGAAACUGUGUCUUUCUCGUCUUUCUUUCUAAAUUAUGAAUAUGUGAAUUCAUUUAUAAUCUUGGUCAUAAAACCAAGGAGCCAGGAAUUAGAAAAAUGCAAUAAAGUUAUCAGCCUCCCAAAGUGCU
rnacentral:lncRNA from 1 species